AGGGGUUUUGUUUACCCCACCUACAUUUCUUAAUUUAAUAAUGGUGUGCGGGCGCUUUAAGGUGCUGGGCGGGAUUUCUAUCCCCUAUAUAUAGAUGGGGGACCCUUAUUUGGUGUGCGCUUCCUGUCCCCCACUCCUCUCUCUCCCGGAGCGUCUCACUUCCGGUCCAGCGGCAUUCAGCUUGGUUGAUUUAGCGCGGUUUUUGGCUCACUUCCAAAGAAGACUUGAAGAUUUUCGGCUGGUUUGCCGGCCCAGCAGCGUUGUAUUGUGCUCUUGUGGGUCUAGUUUCACUUUCAGUUUCAUAAGGGAUAGCGGCCGUGUGGCUGUGCUGUUGUCGUGCUGUAGCUGAUCGUCUGCUGUGGCCAUUUCCUGUGUCUGCCGUGCCAUUUUCUGCUAGCUGCUGUUUGCUGCACCAGCUGUGAUUGCCAGUGGUGUUGUCUGCUCUCUGCACUCUAACCCUGAUUGUUUGGGGAAACUGCAUGCUGUAUGUUUUCUCACCCAGACUGUGCUGAUUGUGGCUUUUAGCUUCUCACAGUGCUGCUGUUUUGUUUCUCUAUUUUUGUUGUUAAUUUUCUUUUGCUAUUUUCUGUCUUAUUCAUUCUUUGUUUUGGAUUAUUAUAUCUUUGUUUAAAUUUGGUUUCUGUUUUGCCUGAGUUUGUAUUCUAUUUUUAUAAUUUUGCUUUGCGUUAUCAACCCUAACUAUCUGUGGCUGCUUUUUGUUUUGUAUGGAAUUAGGGUUGAUUUCUUAUUGACUACUUUCUCAUUUAUGAUUUGGUGUCUUGUCAUUUAUUAAGUAUUUCUCAUUUGUUUCAUAUAUUUGAUUUCUUUAUAAUUUGAGUUUGAGUGUUGGUUAAUUUGGUGGGAUUAUUUUAUUUUGAAGAUUAGUGCAGUCAGUCGACUGCACUUUCCUGAUUUUUGUAUUUUGUGUUUGGAUUACUUUAAUUUGGGUUAAUUUUGGUUAUUUGGACUUUCUUUUCUUUCUUCUGUUUAGCAGAACUGUGUGUGUGUGUGUGUUGUGGUGGUUGUACUGUGGUGUGGUAAAGAGGGGCUGCGAGAGACCAGGACCAAAUAAGAUAAGUGUUUUUCUCUUUUAUAUAGUUGUCGUAAUUAAUUGUGUAGUUUUAAUUUGAAAUAUAGUUCUGGUAAAAUUAUUAGUGGUCUCUCCCCUCUACCAUUUGCCAUACUUAAUUUUGUUUCUUUUUUUGGCUGGACAGGAGCUGUGGGCCAAAGCGACAGAGCUUGGGGUGUGGAGUAUCUUUUCACCAUUCUGUAGUGUAGAGCACUUGGUGUUUGAGAUAUGCAGUGCAGUCACGUGUGGUGUGUGUAGUGUAGGUGACCUCGUAUCCUUUUUCUGCUCCUUUCUGCCGCGGUAAGCCCUCAGUCCAGUCCUGGCCUGAGUCUUAAUAUUAAUUUGUCUGUCCAGUGUUUGUGUGUGUGUGAGAAUGUUUUAAAAAUAAUUGUUAAUAAAAUUGUGUUUAAAUAUUUGGAA